GGUUCUCAACCGAGCCAGGGAGCAUCUUCUAAUGUGCCUCUUGUCCAGGCAGGUGAUGCCACUGCAGGUUCCAUGACCAUGGAGAUGAGGCUGCAGAACAGCGGGUGUACAAUGGGGCGUACACGGACGAGCUCUGCAAAAAAAAGAAGGUCAGUGACACCAAGCUGCUCGGAUGGUCAAAAGCAACGAUCCUCUCCUAAUCAUGAUGCUGCCCCUAUCCAAUCUUGAUUUUUUCUGUUGCUUUUUUUAAUGUUCCUGAAAUCUUAAUUACCUAGAGGUAUACAUCUGGAUUGCUUGUUGAAUCCCAAUGCCUCAUCUCCUUUUUGUUGUCUCUGGAGGGAUACGGAUGACCGGAUCGAUCCUGCUGCGACAACCAUUUUGACCCUGCUGGAGGCGACAGCUAGACGGCAAACAACGUCUCGUGAAUCCAACCUCUGCUGGUGCUAACCUGACCUCUGCCUGUGGAACACCCUCUAUACAGGUCUUGAGCUCCAUCACCAUCUUCUUGCGAAACUUCCAUGACCAUAGGUUAGGUUCCUGCCUGCAGCCCUGCACCUUUGAAUAUCAUCAGUCUAUUCUUCAGCUCCAACAUUUUCUUAUGGCUUUUCCAUGAGAUGGGUCCUGCAAACUGCUUUAUCCCUUGGUAUUAUUAUACCAGGGUCUUUGGAAGGUAAGCUAUUUACAUUUACAUAUGUUGUUAUUUGCUGCUAGCAAAUUAUGUACUACAAAUCCACAAUACUAGACUUAGUGUGUAGACUGCAGAAUUGGUGAGUAGACUAGUAUGGUCGCCAAUAACUGAGUUUUUUAUGGUUCACUGGCAUCAUUUUAGAAGAUAGUAUCUUUUUUGCAUGUGCAUAUAUGUCAUUAUUUGUGACAAGAAACCUAUCUCUGCUAGAUCCCAUCUAAUUGAAGUUUUUCUAGUCUCACAUCAAAGUAUUGCGAUCAGUUUGGUUAGCUUCAGACAAUUGUGGCUUUUAUGGUUCAUUAGGUUUCAUCCGUCCAGGCAUGAUAGAUUUUGCUAUCAGGCUAGUGUGGUUGCAAAUAACUUAUGUUCUUAUGGGUCACUCUCUUCAUUUUUAUGGGUCACUCCCGACACAGUUCCCCUCCUCCCGGCGGUGCUCCCCUCCUGCGAUGCCGCUGCCUCAUCCCUGCGCCGCUCCCUCAUCCCGAUGGCCCUCCAUCCUCUCAACACUGCUCCCCUCCUGUGACGCCCCCCCCCCCCCCUCCCCCCACCCAUCCAUGCGCCGCCGCUCCUCCCGUCGCCGAUCUAGGCACUGGUGCCGCCGGCUGCAAGCUGCUGGUUAGCCUUCCGUCGAUCCCACGAUUCGAGAUCUUGGCUUCCUAGGUCAUUAACCUCCGUCCAGGUCUGCUUCGCCCAUUCCUAGCUCCCUCCGUCUGAUACUGGACUUGUAUAUUUUUUAGUAUUACUGAUUUGUUGUUACAUGUAUUUUCUCGAAGGAUUUGCACAUUAAUUGCAUUCUUAUGUUCAGAUGUAGUAGAAUUUGAUCGCAAAUGUGUAUGUGUUUUGUUGUGAAGUUUGUGCGAGCUCUGCAGUCAGCCUGUUGUUGGUGAUCAACCUUAGUUCGCUGCCUAUCGUCUCUUUUAACAACAUGCUAUAGUGGUUCAUUAGACAUUCAUCUGCUUCUGUUUCAGGCCUUGGUCAUAUCAAGACGGAAACACCUCCCAAUUCACUGAGGCCAAUCAAUAGGUUGAGUGAUAAAGCUUGUACUGUUAAUUUAAUAUAUGUCCCAUAUGAAUAUUUGAGCUAUAUAGUGUGAUGAAGUUUAGAUAAUGACAUUUUUUAAUUUUACAGAAAUGGUAGUAUAAACACUUAUUUCUGUUGAUGGGUAUUUCUCAAUGGUUGCCUGGUUGGUUGAGACUGCUACAAAACAAAGUAACCAUAGGUGCAAAGAGUGCCAUAAUCAUGGAAAGAGUCCUAUUUUACAAAGUAAAGGCUAGAUCAGAGCGUUGAUUCCAUGAUUUCUUACUGAACUACCUUUGAUUAGUUUUUCGAAAUCCUUUCAGUAUGUCUUAUUAGAUUGCACCUAUUAGACUUUAGGCACAAUAUAGUAGUAAUAUAUCUAUCGAACUACCUGUGGUUAGUUUUAUGAAAUCCUGCCAGAAUCUCUUCUUAGAUUGCACCUAUUAGACUUUAGGCAUAUUGUGGUACCACUUCAUCUUUAUAUGUAGACGUUGAUAUUUGAGACUGAGGUGUCCAUAUGCAUGCUUAUGCAUUCUGAAAUUUCAGUAUCUGAUUAUGCAUAUCACUUUGCUCCCCCACCCUGUCAUGAGCAUAAUAUGGACCAGUUCAGUCUUUCUCUAGAGUAUAUACAACGGCAUGGUGCUACAUACUGUGUGCAUUUUUCAGUUCAGACAAUAAGAGAACAAGCAUGCUAUCCUGGUUCAGUUCAGACUUUCGUAGUAAAAAAUAAAAAUAGCUCCUGUAACUUUUUUUACUCCUUGCCCAUUUCACCUUGUGAACCAUAUUAUUUUGAAGCUUCAGUCUUGUGGCACUAGACUUCCUAGUAAGAAAUAAAUUAGUCUGCACCCUCUAUUUUGCAGGUGUCACCCAGCUUGGGAUUAUGUCGCUUCCGCUCCUCCCGUCGCCGGUGCUCCUCCAGCGCUCCGCGAUGUCGCUCUGUCCUCCCAUCACCCCUAGGAGAGUACUGCCAAUGGCGCCGGAUCCUGCAACCAAAUCCUCCUUCGGCGUGCCAUCUGCUCAGGAGCUUCCUCAACACGCCCUCCAUCUCUGUUUGCUCCCAUGCGCCCCUAGUUUUGCUCUUAUGCAAUGUGUAUAUGCUGUCUUUAACCUGCAUAUACUAAUAAUUCUUAGCUCUUAUGCAGAUUGCAAUAUGCAUGCUGGAUACCUGCACAUGAGAUGGUUGAUUGGCUAGAUAGUUUCUGAUUUCCUUUUUGUUUAUUGUUCUACCAUAUUGUAAAAACAGGGUCAAUAAAAUAGCAGAAUGCAUUGAGUUUUUAUGAACUCUUAUGGUGUGCUCGGUUUAAAUAUGGUGAAUGUAAAUGCAAAGUGUUCUCAGUUUUGUGAUAAGAGAACUUACUGCUACUUUGCAUAGAAUUGAAGUUUUUAUGA